UCGUCGAAGAGGAAGACCAGGGAGCCCAAGGAGGAGAAUGUCACCCUUGGACCGGCUGUCCGUGAGGGAGAGCAUGUCUUUGGCGUUGCUCACAUCUUUGCAUCCUUCAAUGACACUUUCAUCCAUGUGACUGACUUGUCUGGGAGGGAAACCCUGGUGCGGAUCACUGGUGGAAUGAAGGUCAAGGCUGAUCGUGAUGAGUCUUCACCCUAUGCUGCUAUGCUUGCAUCUCAGGAUGUUGCUACACGUUGCAAGGAGCUUGGUAUUACCGCACUGCACAUUAAGCUCCGUGCCACUGGAGGCAACAAGACCAAGACACCUGGACCUGGAGCUCAGUCUGCUCUCAGGGCUCUUGCUCGUUCUGGGAUGAAAAUUGGGCGCAUUGAGGACGUGACUCCAGUUCCCACUGACAGCACCCGCCGGAAGGGAGGAAGGAGGGGAAGGAGGCUGUAG
rnacentral:rRNA from 1 species